AUUGAACGCUGGCGGCAGGCCUAACACAUGCAAGUCGAACGAGUGGCGGACGUGUGAGUAAUGUCUGGGAAACUGCCUGAUGGAGGGGGAUAACUACUGGAACCGGUAGCUAAUACCGCAUACCAUCAGAUGUGCCCAGAUGUGAUUAGCUAGUUGGUGGGGUAAAGGCUCACCAUGGCGACGAUCCCUAGCUGGUCUGAGAGGAUGACCAGCCACACGGGAACUGAGACACGGUCCAGACUCCGACGGGAGGCAGCAGUGGGGAAUAUUGCACAAUGGGCGCAAGCCUGAUGAAGCCAUGCCGAGUGUAGGAAGAAGGCCUUCGGGUUGUAAAGUACUUUCAGCGGGGAGGCGUUACCCGCAGAAGAAGCAACGGCUAACUCCGUGCCAGCAGCCGCGGUAAUUC
rnacentral:rRNA from 1 species